ensembl:lncRNA
GCUGGCAUGGAAUCUGGUCCUUGGCAGCCUUGCGUGGCUGGUGGCUGGGCCCACCUGCCUGGCAGGCACCCUGUCCUUGUGCUAAACUGUGCCAGGCUCCUCAGAGGCUAAUAUCAGUAUUACAGUACUAAUUUAUUAGACAUGGAGAGAUUUUUAAAUUUCACUUUUGUGCAGUUAUUUAAAAUUUAAAACGAUAACGUCUGACCCAAUUAAAUUUCAGCUGAUCACUCUCCAAAUGCACAGUCUUAUAAAAUAUAAAUGAGGAAUCUGAAGAACUCUUAUAACAACUUAAUCUCUGUGUAGACGAUCUGCUUUUGGGGUUGUCUAGGCAUGAGGCAGACCUUAGGAAAUGCAGAAAGAAGGCAAACUAGGCAGAUCCGAUUCUGAAGAUUAUCUCAACUGUCUAACUGUCCGGGACUGUCUCCUGUGCAUCAAAUUCAUUCUGUUUUGUAAUAAUGAUGCCUUUUUAUGUGGCCUUUCUCUUGGGGGAUUUCUGGCAUUUUCAUAAUUUAGUGGCUCCAGCGGAGACAGCCUGGUUUUCCAGCCUCUGGGCAGGUCCCCGGGAGGCUGGUAGGGGCGGCCAGGCCUGCCCCAUCCCGCCCUGGGCACUGUCUCCCCACUGGUUUGCGUGUAGACCUGCCAGCCUGCUGACCCCCCACAGCGAGCCUCCCUUCCCAGAAACACUCACAGCAUGCGUGGCCCCGCUCGAGGGCCUGGAAACCCACCCGGUCCCAGGCUGGACGGUCAGCAUGGCCACCACCCAGACCCUCGCCGGGCAGAGCUGGCCUCCUGAGGCUGGUCGGAGCAGGACAGGAGACCGGUGGGGGUGGGGCCUCCACGCGGGCCCACGGCCCUCUGGGUCACGCGUCUCGUAGAGCCUCCUCUGUUGGGCAGCUGUGGUGCCACGUGGUCUGGACGCGCAGAGUCGGGGCCUCCAGCGGGGGUGGACGAGGGACCCUGGGCCGCAGGAGCUUCUCCCGCACGUCGACACGGGGCAGGAUCAGGGUGGCCCCGGGCAUGGGGUGGGGCAGUGUGAGGGUCCCCUCGUCCAGAAGAUCGGGGGCCUCAGAGCUGGAAAGAGUUGGUCCUGUGUGUCCCAACUGUGACCUGAUCGGAACACCGAGGAGCCCCAGCUGCUGGCGUGCGGUCUGGGGAGCAAGUCCUGCUCUGGAUUCAGCCGCGGAGGCUGUGGCCAGGCCACCGCUGCCCUGCCUGGCUCCGGGGCAGGAGCCCUGACUUUGCACCUACGGCUCCCCUGGAGACUCAGGCAGGAGUCCAGUGACGUUCAGCUGCCAUUUCACUUGGGCCACGUGGUCACGUGUCCCUGAUGUGACAGGUGGAAAGACACCCUCGUCUGCUGCGCGUCGGCCCUCCCGUCCGGCAUCUCUGGUCUCUGCUCCUCGCUCGCGAUGCCUCCUGUCUCGGCGCGUUAGCGCUCUGCCCCUUUGCCUCCUGCUGAUCUGCCCUGGGCUCCACUCAUCUGUCCCCUAUCCUCAAGAAUUUUAAAAGUCCCUUUGUUUUCCUGUCAGCUGUUUUGGUUCUCUUUUUGGCUGUCUUUUUAAUGACUCCCCUGGGAGCUGGUAAGGAAUCCGCCUGCAAUGCAGGAGACCUGGGUUCGAUUCCUGGGUUGGGAAGAUCCCCUGGAGAAGGGGACAGGCUACCGACUCCAGUGUUCUUGGGCUUCCCUUGUGGCUCAGCUGGUAAAGAAUCCGCCUGCAAUGCAGGAGUCCUGGGUUCGAUCCCUGGGUUGGGAAGAUCCCCUGGAGAAGGGAAAGGCUCCCCACUCCAGUGUUCUGGCCUGGAGAGUUCCGUGGACUGGAUCGUCCAGGGGGUCGCAAAGAGCUGGACACGGCUGAGCGGCUUCCACUCCCACUCCCCUCCUUGCUGGGAGUUACCCAAGGUGCUCGGCUUCUUUGGCUUAGAUGAGACCGUUGCCUCAGCUCGAAGGCUGCAUGAGCAGAGCAGCCUAAUGGAGGGUCCCCGCUCCCCUCGUUCGGUGUGCACGUGUUUUUCUCCCUCUCGUUGUGAGCUCGCGAGUCACUGGCUUUCAGUGGCCUCGUCCCACACUCGCCCUUUCAGAUGCGGUUCGUUUCUCCUGGAAACGUCUGUGCUCCCGUUGCGGGUCACGGUCCUUCAUUUCAGAGACUGUCCUGGAGUGGUUCUCGUAGGGACGACAUCCCCAGGCUUCAUUUCUGGUGCUUUCCGUCACAGGUGCUCAUUGAGCA